UACAGGGGGUGCAAACGUUGCUCGGAAUCAUUGGGCGUAAAGCGCACGUAGGCGGUUCGUUAUGUCGGAUGUGAAAGCCCUUGGCUUAACCGAGGAAGUGCAUCCGAAACCGGCGAGCUAGAGUACGAAAGAGGAUCGCGGAAUUCCCGGUGUAGAGGUGAAAUUCGUAGAUAUCGGGAGGAACACCGGUGGCGAAGGCGGCGAUCUGGGUCGAUACUGACGCUGAGGUGCGAAAGCGUGGGGAGCAAACAGG
rnacentral:rRNA from 1 species